UUCCUAUUCUCCUCACUCUGCCGUGUACCCUCUUCCGCCACCAUCAUCUCAACUUCACUUGCAGCCACUUCCGGCCAACCGUCCAGCCACCACUGCCGCAUAGUUCUACCCACAAAUUUGAUUUGCUUCAAUUGUUUUCAAAUCAAGAGGCUUUCAUGACCUUUCUUGGUUUUGCAACAAAGAGGGAGUUUGCCACCAUAAGUUAUUUAUCUGUCAACUAAGAGCUUAUUCAAAGUUCUCCACGCUUGGGUUGACUCAUUGGAUAAUACUUGACGCUUAACGCUUAAGCUUGUGAAGUUUGUGUCUACAAGAGGUCAGGAAAAGGUUCAGGAUCGACUGCCGGAGGCGUGACAGUGUGGUGUAGCCCGUGUUUAUUAGAUGUCUGUUUCCUUACCUUUAUUUAGGAUUGUUAGACAUUUUAAAUUGUUGAAUUUUAUUUAUGACUCAGUCACCUUCAACUUGAGCAGUUGUUUUGUUUCCGCUGUGAUAUUGACCACUAAGGUCUAGCAUUCUGAUUAAGUGGUUGUUUUAUUGCA